rnacentral:rRNA from 1 species
CCUACGGGCGGCAGCAGUGAGGAAUAUUGGUCAAUGGGCGCGAGCCUGAACCAGCCAAGUCGCGUGAGGGAAGAAUGUCCUAUGGAUUGUAAACCUCUUUUGUCAGGGAGCAAAGUCACCCACGUGUGGGUGUUGGAGAGUACCUGAAGAAAAAGCAUCGGCUAACGCCGUGCCAGCAGCCGCGGUAAUACGGAGGAUGCGAGCGUUAUCCGGAUGUAUUGGGGUUAAAGGGUGCGUAGUCGGGUUAUCAAGUCAGCGGUAAAAUCGUGGAGCUCAACUCCAUCCAGCCGUUGAAACUGAUGAUCUUGAGUGGGCGAGAAGUAUGCGGAAUGCGUGGUGUAGCGGUGAAAUGCAUAGAUAUCACGCAGAACUCCGAUUGCGAAGGCAGCAUACCGGCGCCCGACUGACGCUGAAGCACGAAAGCGUGGGUAUCGAACAGGAUUAGAUACCCCUGUAGUC